UGAGACACAUGGGCACACCUUGUACCUUGUCUCUGUGAGAUGAUGAUGGCGUUCUCUCUCUGCCACACCUCUUCUUUCUUCAUCGUUCACCGCUUACCACAACAAACUUUGAUAAGAACAAGACGAAUUCAUUUCCCAUUGAUUCGUGCAGUGCAAUCAGGGGAAUCAGAAACUGAAAAGUCUACACAGAAAAAGACUGAAGAAUCACCAUCUUCAACUGCUGCUGCUUCUCCUCCUCCUAGACCAAAGAAACCCGUCUAUUCUAUGAAGAAGGGCCAGAUUGUGAGAGUGGACAAAGAAAAAUAUCUCAACAGCAUCAAUGUAAGAACCUCAACCAUUUUGUUGUCCCUUUCUCCCAUGUUUUUGGCUCGAGAUAUAAUGAUGUUUUUUUACCUGAUGAACAUUGAGAUUUGAGACUGGUGUUUCAGUAUUUCUGUUGGGCAUCCGCCAUACUACAAAGGAUUGGAUUACAUCUAUGAAGACCGUGGGGAGGUCCUGGAUAUGCGUAUAUUUGAAACAGGGGAGUAUGCACUUUUAAAAUUGACAGAUUGCAUGGGUAGGAAUCCCCACUGCCCCCGCUUGGCUUCCAACAGACAUGCUUAUCAAGUCAGAGAAGCUCAAUUAUGAGAGGCUAUGAUCUGCAGUUUGGUACAGACAUAUGCUAAAUAUUUAGAUCAGUAAAAUUUCAUUUUCCGGUGUUGUAAGAAAGUAUGAUUAAAGAAGCCUGGCUUGAAAUACCAAAUGAAUUCUGUCUCAUCUAUAGUCUAGAUUCAACAUUUCAAAAGAUCCAGAAGUUUUUGGAGAUCACUAUCGUUGAUUCAUUGUAUAUGUGCCUGGUUAUAAUUAAUAAAUAAAGGCUAUAGUAUA